rnacentral:rRNA from 1 species
UUCCGGUUGAUCCUGCCGGACCUUACUGCUAUCGGGGUGGGACUAAGACAUGCGAGUCGAGCGUCUCUAGCUAUGUUGAGACGCGGCAGACGGCUCAGUAACACGUGGCUAACCUACCUUCAGGACGAGGAUAAACCCGGGAAACUGGGGCUAAUACUCGAUAGGUGAGAAUGUCUGGAAUGACUUCUCAUCCAAAGGGCCUUGGAAACAUGCUUUCAAUGUCGCCUGGAGAUGGGGCCGCGUCCGAUCAGGUUGUUGGUGAGGUAACGGCUCACCAAGCCUAUAACCGGUACGGGCCAUGAGAGUGGUAGCCCGGAGAUGGGUACUGAGACAAGGACCCAGGCCCUACGGGGCGCAGCAGUCGCGAAAACUCCGCAAUGCACGAAAGUGUGACGGGGCUACCCCGAGUGCCAUCCGCUGAGGUUGGCUUUUCUUUGGUAUAACUAGCCAGGGGAAUAAGGAGAGGGCAAGACUGGUGUCAGCCGCCGCGGUAAUACCAGCUCUCCGAGUGGUAGGGAUGAUUAUUGGGCUUAAAGCGUCCGUAGCCGGCUUAGCAAGUCUCCUGUUAAAUUCAGCGACCUAAUCGUUGACCCGCGGGAGAUACUACUAGGCUAGGAGGCGGGAGAGGUCGACGGUACUUCUGGGGUAAGGGUGAAAUCCUAUAAUCCCGGGAGGACCACCAGUGGCGAAAGCUGUCGACUAGAACGCGCUCGACGGUGAGGGACGAAAGCUGGGGGAGCGAACCGGAUUAGAUACCCGGGUAGUCCCAGCCGUAAACGAUGCGAGCUAGGUGUUGGGAUGGCUACGUGCCAUUCCAGUGCCGCAGGGAAGCCAUUAAGCUCGCCGCCUGGGGAGUACGGCCGCAAGGCUGAAACUUAAAGGAAUUGGCGGGGGAGCACCACAAGGCGUGAAGCUUGCGGUUCAAUUGGAUUCAACGCCGGA